rnacentral:rRNA from 1 species
AGGACGAACGCUGGCGGCGUGCCUAAUACAUGCAAGUCGAACGGUCUUUCUAUGGAAGCUUGCUUCCACUGAGAAGAUAGUGGCGAACGGGUGAGUAACACGUGGGUAACCUGCCCAUAAGAGGGGGGAUAACAUCCGGAAACGGGUGCUAAUACCGCAUAGUUUUCUUGAUCGCAUGAUCGGGAAAGGAAAGACGGCCUUUGUGCUGUCGCUUAUGGAUGGACCCGCGGCGUAUUAGCUAGUUGGUGAGGUAACGGCUCACCAAGACGAUGAUACGUAGCCGACCUGAGAGGGUGAUCGGCCACAUUGGGACUGAGACACGGCCCAAACUCCUACGGGAGGCAGCAGUAGGGAAUCUUCCGCAAUGGACGAAAGUCUGACGGAGCAACGCCGCGUGAGUGAAAGAAGGUUUUCGGAUCGUAAAACUCUGUUGUCAGAGAAGAACAAGUUGGAGAGUAACUGCUCCAGCCUUGACGGUAUCUGACCAGAAAGCCACGGCUAACUACGUGCCAGCCGCGGC